AAGCUAGUAGUUUAAUAUGAAUUAUUGAUUGUGGUUCUUUAGGUUUAUUUGGCUUU
rnacentral:tRNA from 1 species